rnacentral:rRNA from 1 species
ACGAUACCCGAAUGGGGAAACCCAGUGCAAUACGUUGCACUAUCGUUAGAUGAAUACAUAGUCUAACGAGGCGAACCGGGGGAACUGAAACAUCUAAGUACCCCGAGGAAAAGAAAUCAACCGAGAUUCCCCCAGUAGCGGCGAGCGAACGGGGAGGAGCCCAGAGUCUGAAUCAGUUUGUGUGUUAGUGGAAGCGUCUGGAAAGUCGCACGGUACAGGGUGAUAGUCCCGUACACCAAAAUGCACAGGCUGUGAACUCGAUGAGUAGGGCGGGACACGUGACAUCCUGUCUGAAUAUGGGGGGACCAUCCUCCAAGGCUAAAUACUCCUGACUGACCGAUAGUGAACCAGUACCGUGAGGGAAAGGCGAAAAGAACCCCGGCGAGGGGAGUGAAAUAGAACCUGAAACCGUGUACGUACAAGCAGUGGGAGCACCUUCGUGGUGUGACUGCGUACCUUUUGUAUAAUGGGUCAGCGACUUAUAUUUUGUAGCAAGGUUAACCGAAUAGGGGAGCCGUAGGGAAACCGAGUCUUAACUGGGCGUCUAGUUGCAAGGUAUAGACCCGAAACCCGGUGAUCUAGCCAUGGGCAGGUUGAAGGUUGGGUAACACUAACUGGAGGACCGAACCGACUAAUGUUGAAAAAUUAGCGGAUGACUUGUGGCUGGGGGUGAAAGGCCAAUCAAACCGGGAGAUAGCUGGUUCUCCCCGAAAGCUAUUUAGGUAGCGCCUCGUGAACUCAUCUUCGGGGGUAGAGCACUGUUUCGGCUAGGGGGCCAUCCCGGCUUACCAAACCGAUGCAAACUCCGAAUACCGAAGAAUGUUAUCACGGGAGACACACGGCGGGUGCUAACGUCCGUCGUGAAGAGGGAAACAACCCAGACCGCCAGCUAAGGUCCCAAAGUCAUGGUUAAGUGGGAAACGAUGUGGGAAGGCACAGACAGCCAGGAUGUUGGCUUAGAAGCAGCCAUCAUUUAAAGAAAGCGUAAUAGCUCACUGGUCGAGUCGGCCUGCGCGGAAGAUGUAACGGGGCUAAACCAUGCACCGAAGCUGCGGCAGCGACGUUGUUGGGUAGGGGAGCGUUCUGUAAGCCGUUGAAGGUGACCUGUGAGGGUUGCUGGAGGUAUCAGAAGUGCGAAUGCUGACAUAAGUAACGAUAAUGCGGGUGAAAAACCCGCACGCCGGAAGACCAAGGGUUCCUGUCCAACGUUAAUCGGGGCAGGGUGAGUCGACCCCUAAGGCGAGGCUGAAAAGCGUAGUCGAUGGGAAACAGGUUAAUAUUCCUGUACUUGGUGUUACUGCGAAGGGGGGACGGAGAAGGCUAGGCUGGCCGGGCGACGGUUGUCCCGGUUUAAGCGUGUAGGGGGAGUGACCAGGUAAAUCCGGUUGCUUAUCAACCCUGAGGCGUGAUGACGAUGCACCACGGUGCAGAAGCAGUUGAUGCCAUGCUUCCAGGAAAAGCCUCUAAGCAUCAGGUAACAUUAAAUCGUACCCCAAACCGACACAGGUGGUCAGGUAGAGAAUACUCAGGCGCUUGAGAGAACUCGGGUGAAGGAACUAGGCAAAAUGGUGCCGUAACUUCGGGAGAAGGCACGCUGGCGUUAGGUGAAAGGACUAGCUCCUGGAGCUGAAGCCAGUCGCAGAUACCAGCUGGCUGCAACUGUUUAAUAAAAACACAGCACUGUGCAAACACGAAAGUGGACGUAUACGGUGUGACGCCUGCCCGGUGCUGGAAGGUUAAUUGAUGGGGUCAGCCGCAAGGGGAAGCUCUUGAUCGAAGCCCCAGUAAACGGCGGCCGUAACUAUAACGGUCCUAAGGUAGCGAAAUUCCUUGUCGGGUAAGUUCCGACCUGCACGAAUGGCGUAAUGAUGGCCAGGCUGUCUCCACCCGAGACUCAGUGAAAUUGAACUCGCUGUGAAGAUGCAGUGUACCCGCGGCAAGACGGAAAGACCCCGUGAACCUUUACUAUAGCUUGACACUGAACAUUGAGCCUUGAUGUGUAGGAUAGGUGGGAGGCCUUGAAGUGUGGACGCCAGUCUGCAUGGAGCCAACCUUGAAAUACCACCCUUUAAUGUUUGAUGUUCUAACUCGGCCCCAUGAUCUGGGGUGAGGACAGUGUCUGGUGGGUAGUUUGACUGGGGCGGUCUCCUCCCAAAGAGUAACGGAGGAGCACGAAGGUUAGCUAAUCACGGUCGGACAUCGUGAGGUUAGUGCAAAGGCAUAAGCUAGCUUGACUGCGAGAGUGACGGCUCGAGCAGGUACGAAAGUAGGUCUUAGUGAUCCGGUGGUUCUGAAUGGAAGGGCCAUCGCUCAACGGAUAAAAGGUACUCCGGGGAUAACAGGCUGAUACCGCCCAAGAGUUCAUAUCGACGGCGGUGUUUGGCACCUCGAUGUCGGCUCAUCACAUCCUGGGGCUGAAGUAGGUCCCAAGGGUAUGGCUGUUCGCCAUUUAAAGUGGUACGCGAGCUGGGUUUAGAACGUCGUGAGACAGUUCGGUCCCUAUCUGCCGUGGGCGUUGGAAGAUUGAGAGGGGCUGCUCCUAGUACGAGAGGACCGGAGUGGACGAAUCACUGGUGUUCGGGUUGUCAUGCCAAUGGCAUUGCCCGGUAGCUAAAUUCGGAAGAGAUAACCGCUGAAAGCAUCUAAGCGGGAAACUUGCCUCGAGAUGAGUCUUCCCUGGGGCUUAAAGCCCCCUGAAGGAACGUUAAAGACUAUGACGUUGAUAGGCUGGGUGUGUAAGUGCAGCGAUGUAUUGAGCUAACCAGUACUAAUGAUCCGUGAGGCUUAACC